rnacentral:misc_RNA from 1 species
AAGUCGUAACAAGGUUUCCGUAGGUGAACCUGCGGAAGGAUCAUUACCAAAUCCAAAUUACCUAACCCCGUGUGAACUAUUGUUUUAGUCUGUCUUUGGGGAAAAAAUACUUUUGGAAAAUGGCAUUUUGAUUACAAAAUGUUUAUUUUUUAUUGGUAUUUUUUUCCCAAAAGAAUUCAGCCUGUUUGGAUUCUUUAAACCCUUUAUUUAAACCACUUGACUUAUUGUUGGAAUUUUCUUUUAUAAUUUUAAAUUAAAAGACAACUUUUAACGGUGGAUCUCUUGGCUCGUG